rnacentral:rRNA from 1 species
UACGUAGGCAGCGAGCGUUGUUCGGAGUUACUGGGCGUAAAGGGUGUGUAGGCGGUUUUUUAAGUUUGGUGUGAAAUCUCCCGGCUCAACCGAGAGGGUGCGCCGAAUACUGAGGGACUAGAGUGCGGGAGAGGAAAGUGGAAUUCCUGGUGUAGCGGUGAAAUGCGUAGAUAUCAGGAGGAACACCGGUGGUGUAGACGGCUUUCUGGACCGUAACUGACGCUGAGACACGAAAGCGUGGGUAGCAAACAGG